UACGUAGGGUGCAAGCGUUAUCCGGAAUUAUUGGGCGUAAAGAGCUCGUAGGCGGUUUGUCGCGUCUGCUGUGAAAACCCGAGGCUCAACCUCGGGACUGCGUCCGAUACUUCCGAGCUGGAGGUAGGUAGGGGAGAUCGGAAUUCCUGGUGUAGCGGUGAAAUGCGCAGAUAUCAGGAGGAACACCGGUGGCGAAGGCGGCACUCUGGGCCGGUACUGACGCUGAGGAGCGAAAGCAUGGGGAGCGAACAGG
rnacentral:rRNA from 1 species